rnacentral:rRNA from 1 species
CCUACGGGAGGCAGCAGUGAGGAAUAUUGGUCAAUGGGCGCGAGCCUGAACCAGCCAAGUAGCGUGAAGGAUGACUGCCCUACGGGUUGUACACUUCUUUUAUAAAGGAAUAAAGUGAGGUACGUGUGCCUUCUUGUAUGUACCUUAUGAAUAAGGAUCGGCCAACUCCGUGCCAGCAGCCGGGGUAAUACGGAGGGUCCGAGCGUUAUCCGGAUUUAUUGGGUUUAAAGGGAGCGUAGAUGGGUUGUUAAGUCCGUUGUGAAAGUUUGCGGCUCAACCGUAAAAGUGCAAUUGAUACUGGCAGCCUUGAGUACAGUUGAGGUAGGCGGAAUUCGUGGUGUAGCGGUGAAAUGCUUAGAUAUCACGAAGAACUCCGAUUGCGAAGGCAGCUUACUAAACUGCCACUGACAUUGAUGCUCGAAAGUGUGGGUAUCAAACAGGAUUAGAUACCCCAGUAGUC